rnacentral:tRNA from 83 species
GGCUCGGUAGCUCAGUCGGUAGAGCAGGGGAUUGAAAAUCCCCGUGUCGGCGGUUCGAUCCCGUCCCGAGCCACCA